GACGAACGCUGGCGGCGUGCUUAACACAUGCAAGUCGAACGGAAAGGCCCUGCUUUUGUGGGGUGCUCGAGUGGCGAACGGGUGAGUAACACGUGAGUAACCUUCCCUUGACUUUGGUACAACUUCAGGUAACUGGGGCUAAUACCGGAUAGGAGCUCCUGCUUCAUUGUGGGGGUUGGUAAGUUUCGGCGGUUGGGGAUGGACUCGCGGCUUAUCAGCUUGUUUGUGGGGUAGUGGCUUACCAAGGCUUUGACGGGUAGCCGGCAUGAGAGGGUGACCGGCCACAUUGGGACUGAGAUACGGCCCAGACUACUACGGGAGGCAGGAGGGGGGAAUAGUGCACAAGGGGAGGAAGCAUGAUGCAGAAAAGCAGCGUGCGGGAUGACGGCCUUCGGGUUGUAAACCGAUUUCGCAUGUGACGAAGCGUGAGUGACGGUAAUGGGUAAAGAAGCACCGGCUAACUACGUG
rnacentral:rRNA from 1 species